rnacentral:rRNA from 1 species
UGGCAGCUUGCUGCCGGGGUGAGAGUGGCGAACGGGUGAGUAAUGCGUGACCGACCUGCCCCAUGCACCGGAAUAGCUCCUGGAAACGGGUGGUAAUGCCGGAUGUUCCACAUGAGCGCAUGCGAGUGUGGGAAAGGCUUUUUGCGGCAUGGGAUGGGGUCGCGUCCUAUCAGCUUGUUGGUGGGGUAACGGCCUACCAAGGCGUUGACGGGUAGCCGGCCUGAGAGGGCGACCGGCCACAUUGGGACUGAGAUACGGCCCAGACUCCUACGGGAGGCAGCAGUGGGGAAUAUUGCACAAUGGGCGCAAGCCUGAUGCAGCGACGCCGCGUGCGGGAUGGAGGCCUUCGGGUUGUAAACCGCUUUUGUUCAAGGGCAAGGCACGGUUUCGGCCGUGUUGAGUGGAUUGUUCGAAUAAGCACCGGCUAACUACGUGCCAGCAGCCGCGGUAAUACGUAGGGUGCAAGCGUUAUCCGGAUUUAUUGGGCGUAAAGGGCUCGUAGGCGGUUCGUCGCGUCCGGUGUGAAAGUCCAUCGCUUAACGGUGGAUCCGCGCCGGGUACGGGCGGGCUUGAGUGCGGUAGGGGAGACUGGAAUUCCCGGUGUAACGGUGGAAUGUGUAGAUAUCGGGAAGAACACCAAUGGCGAAGGCAGGUCUCUGGGCCGUUACUGACGCUGA